GCUCCUCCUCUCUAAUCCUUUGUCCCUGAGUGAGAAUGCUUUCAGAAUGCAGUGCUCCCAGGCAAGGGUUCUGAGAGGGCGAGC
rfam:Cavia porcellus supercont2_132 genomic scaffold, whole genome shotgun sequence.